GUAAGGAAUAUUGGUCAAUGGACGAAAGUCUGAACCAGCCAUGCCGCGUGAAGGAUGAAGGUCCUCUGGAUUGUAAACUUCUUUUAUCUGGGACGAAAAAAGGGAAUUCUUUCUCACUUGACGGUACCAGAGGAAUAAGCACCGGCUAACUCCGUGCCAGCAGCCGCGGUAAUACGGAGGGUGCAAGCGUUAUCCGGAUUUACUGGGUUUAAAGGGUGCGUAGGUGGGCAGGUAAGUCAGUGGUGAAAUCUCCGGGCUUAACUCGGAAACUGCCAUUGAUACUAUCUGUCUUGAAUAUCCUGGAGGUGAGCGGAAUAUGUCAUGUAGCGGUGAAAUGCUUAGAUAUGACAUAGAACACCAAUUGCGAAGGCAGCUCACUACGGGAUUAUUGACACUGAGGCACGAAAGCGUGGGGAUCAAACAGGAUUAGAAACCCCGGUAGUCC
rnacentral:rRNA from 1 species